UGGAUCGGAAACCUAUUUAUGGAGCUUUUCCAGUCAGUCAAGUUAUAUACUUAGUCACAGAGAAGAUGUACCACCGUUGAGGUAAUAAAAGGUAGUGAAAGACUGUUUCCACCUUCUGACUUGAUAAAACUGGAUCAUCUCAAACCCCAAAAAAGCAGCAAUGGCGGCGGUGCCCACAUAUGUUUUCCUCAUUUUUGUUUUGCUGACUCUGCUUUACCCUGCCAGUACAUGGAUAGACAAACAUGAGCUGAGAGAAAUACAAAAUGACAUUCAGAAGUUACACCAAGAUGCUGACAGGAGAAAGAUAAUAAACAUGGUUGACCGCAAAUACAUUCCUGAGAUCCUUGAUGAUGUUACAUACUUGCUUGACGCCUUAAUAAGAGUACUAAAGAGACUAGUGCCAAAUUUUUUGUUGGGAUUUAUAAAAGAAAUAAACAGCUUACUGGAACAAAGCCAAGGUUUUGCAAGAAGAGAACUUCUGAAUCAAGCUGCAAAUAUCGAGAAGUGCAAACAAAAACUGGCAGAACUGGAAACUCUUGUAACACACCUGGCAGAGAAAGAACCUAAUUUGUAAUGCUUGUCCGUUGUCUGUCUUUAAAGCUGUAAUACACUAUGUUUCGUGAAGCAUAGUGUAUUACAAAAAAUCCCGAAACUGUAUGACUAAUUUGUAAUUCCUUGUGUUCUAAAUCAAAACAAUAAAAUGCUAAUGCAUCCAUAAUUUACUAUAA